AAUAAAUGCGUGCGACAGGUCUAAUACAUGCAAGUCGAAUGCGAUUAAAAGAAAUCGCAUGGCGAAAGGGUGCGUAACACGUGAGUACUUACCCAAAUAUAUGGACCAAGCCUUGGAUGGUGAAUGUUCUGAAAAGCAUUACAGCGUAUUUGGAUAGGCUCGCGCAGGAUUAGGUUGUUGGUGAGGUAAAGGCUCACCAAGCCGAUGAUCCUUAGCCGGUCUUCACGGAUGGUCGGCCACACUGGGACUGAGACAAGGCCCAGACUUUUUUUGAAGGCAGCAGUAGAGAAUUUUGUACAAUGCGCGAAAGCGUGAUACAGCUAUGUCGCGUGGAAGGUGUGAGCCAUUUGGUUGUACUCUUCCACUCCUCCCAGAAGACUUAAGACACACUGGGAGAGAGAGCCCCGGCCAAUACUCGUGCCAGCCGCCGCCGUAACAC
rnacentral:rRNA from 1 species